CCAAAGGUUCUUUUCAGAACCACUUACUUUUUCUCUAAGAGGAGCU
rfam:Otolemur garnettii contig175464, whole genome shotgun sequence.